AGUGAACGCUGGCGGUAGGCCUAACACAUGCAAGUCGAACGGCAGCACAGUAAGAGCUUGCUCUUACGGGUGGCGAGUGGCGGACGGGUGAGGAAUACAUCGGAAUCUACUUUUUCGUGGGGGAUAACGUAGGGAAACUUACGCUAAUACCGCAUACGACCUACGGGUGAAAGCAGGGGAUCUUCGGACCUUGCGCGAUUGAAUGAGCCGAUGUCGGAUUAGCUAGUUGGCGGGGUAAAGGCCCACCAAGGCGACGAUCCGUAGCUGGUCUGAGAGGAUGAUAGGCCACACUGGAACUGAGACACGGUCCAGACUCCUACGGGAGGCAGCAGUGGGGAAUAUUGGACAAUGGGCGGAAGCCUGAUCCAGCCAUACCGCGUGGGUGAAGAAGGCCUUCGGGUUGUAAAGCCCUUUUGUUGGGAAAGAAAAGCAGCAGGUUAAUACCCCGCUGUUCUGACGGUACCCAAAGAAUAAGCACCGGCUAACUUCGUG
rnacentral:rRNA from 1 species